CCUACGGGCGGCAGCAGUGGGGAAUAUUGCACAAUGGGGGAAACCCUGAUGCAGCGACGCCGCGUGAGUGAAGAAGUAUUUCGUUAUGUAAAGCUCUAUCAGCAGGGAAGAAAAUGACGGUACCUGACUAAGAAGCCCCGGCUAACUACGUGCCAGCAGCCGCGGUAAUACGUAGGGGGCAAGCGUUAUCCGGAUUUACUGGGUGUAAAGGGAGCGUAGACGGCAGCGCAAGUCUGGAGUGAAAGGCGGGGGCUCAACCCCCGGACUGCUCUGGAAACUGUGCGGCUGGAGUGCAGGAGAGGUAAGCGGAAUUCCUGGUGUAGCGGUGAAAUGCGUAGAUAUCAGGAGGAACACCGAGGGCGAAGGCGGCUUACUGGACUGUAACUGACGUUGAGGCUCGAAGGCGUGGGGAGCAAACAGGAUUAGAUACCCGUGUAGUC
rnacentral:rRNA from 1 species